GAUCAUGGCUCAGGAUGAACGCUAACUACAGGCUUAACACAUGCAAGUCGAGGGGCAGCAUGUUGGUUGCUUGCGACCAACGAUGGCGACCGGCGCACGGGUGAGUAACGCGUAUCCAACCUUCCGCAUACUCGGGAAUAGCCUUUCGAAAGAAAGAUUAAUGCCCGAUGGUUUCCCGAAUCCGCAUGAGAACGGGAAUAAAGAUUCAUCGGUAUGCGAUGGGGAUGCGUCCCAUUAG
rnacentral:rRNA from 1 species